GUUCGUUAUACGAAUGGCGGCCACCCAGUAUUCGUCAAUUAAGCUGCGGUUAACCGCAGCUUCUGGGAGGCUAAUUGCCGGCACACUCCAGCUCCCAGGUGGUCUAGUCAUUCGUGCGGUUGUUCGGUAGAUUGAAUCUACCGAACACCGGGCAGAAAAGCACGAAUAAGUCUUUUCUGCAGGGGAAACAAAGUCUUUUAACAUGGGGCCAUAAUCCAAAGGUAGCAGGCGAGCAACCAGGCUUCGCCAAUGCAAUGUGGCGAGAUUGCUCUUGUCACA